rnacentral:rRNA from 1 species
UGGCGAACGGGUGAGUAAUAUAUCGGAACGUGCCUAGUAGCGGGGGAUAACUACUCGAAAGAGUAGCUAAUACCGCAUACGCCCUACGGGGGAAAGGGGGGGAUCGCAAGACCUCUCACUAUUAGAGCGGCCGAUAUCGGAUUAGCUAGUUGGUGGGGUAAAGGCCCACCAAGGCGACGACCCGUAGCUGGUUUGAGAGGACGACCAGCCACACUGGGACUGAGACACGGCCCAGACUCCUACGGGAAGGCAGCAGUGGGGAAUUUUGGACAAUGGGGGAAAACCUGAUCCAGCCAUUCCGCGUGUGCGAUGAAGGCCUUCGGGUUGUAAAGCACUUUUGGCAGGAAAGAAAU